GUGUGUGUGUGUGUGUGUGUGUGUCUGCAUGUUGUCUCCCCCAUGUGAUGGGAAGCCCCUUGAGGGCAGGGACCCGCCUCCUUUGUAGCUCCCGUGCUUUGCAAAGUGCCUGACACAUAGUAGGUGCUUAACAAAUGUUGAUUAUCUGAGCAGAGCUGUUGACACAUAGUGGGUGCUUAACAAAUGUUGAUUAUCUGAGUGGAGCUGUGUGUUGUUUUUUUAAUCCAGCCUUUUAUUUCAUAGAGAGAUUAGGACACGGGCCCAGGGUGAGCUGGGUAGGGAUUAGCAGAGCCAGGAGGAGACAUUGAGGUGUCUUGAGUCCCAAAUCCUGGCUCCUCGGCUAGAUCGCAUGGCUUCGCCACCCCUGGUGAAAUGACAGGUCCCUCUGAGAGGCAGUGGAGUCCGGUGGUCAGGCCGCCUCAGACGCUUCCUAGGAAAAGCUACAGCUAUAUUUAGAGAUACAGAUGAACAUACAUUCAUACACAUACAUUUAGUGUGUAUUUAUGCAUACGUAUAAAUAGAUACAAGGAUAGACAUAGACAGGAAGGAAUAAAGAAAAGGAGAGAGAAAGAAGGAGAAGGAGAAAGGGAAAGGAGGGAGGGAAGGAGAAAAAAGGAAAGAAAUAAAGGAAGAAA